rnacentral:rRNA from 1 species
GAUGAACGCUGGCGGCGUGCCUAAUACAUGCAAGUCGAGCGAACAGACGAGGAGCUUGCUCCUCUGAUGUUAGCGGCGGACGGGUGAGUAACACGUGGAUAACCUACCUAUAAGACUGGGAUAACUUCGGGAAACCGGAGCUAAUACCGGAUAACAUGUUGAACCGCAUGGUUCAACAGUGAAAGACGGUCUUGCUGUCACUUAUAGAUGGAUCCGCGCCGCAUUAGCUAGUUGGUAAGGUAGCGGCUUACCAAGGCAACGAUGCGUAGCCGACCUGAGAGGGUGAUCGGCCACACUGGAACUGAGACACGGUCCAGACUCCUACGGGAGGCAGCAGUAGGGAAUCUUCCGCAAUGGGCGAAAGCCUGACGGAGCAACGCCGCGUGAGUGAAGAAGGUCUUCGGAUCGUAAAACUCUGUUAUUAGGGAAGAACAAAUGUGUAAGUAACUAUGCACGUCUUGACGGUACCUAAUCAGAAAGCCACGGCUAACUACGUG